AAAAUGAAAAAAAAAAUGAUUUAAUUGUUUUCUUGACUGGUGCUCCUAUACAUAGCAACACCAGUAAAGAAACACAAAAAAAAAAACCUGUAGUGAACAUUGGAAAAACAUCAUAAACUAGCUUUCAUUAGGAAGUAGCUGUCUACACUUUGAAUCCCGUUUUCCCCUUAUAGCAGCUCAAGUCCGUGUUUGCACUGUGUGUUUGCUGAAAGUGAGGCGAUCCUGGAGUCGCUUUGGGUGGAGAAUAAUAUACAAACCAACUAAUCUCUUAAUAUGUUGGUUUGUGCCUAAUACUGAAUAUUGUUUUAUGUGUGUUAAAUAUAGGUGAUAUUCACUUCUGAAAAGUCUGGUACGAAGCCGAUACUUCAUUUAUAGUGUAGGGUUACAACCUAUAUUCACAAGAGAUUUACAUUAAAAGGGACCAGUGAUUGAAAGAGCAAAACCCAUAUCUCGUGUCAAAAAGGAACUCAUCUUAACCUAAAUAUGUAUUUUCUUGGACUGUUGCUUGCUUUUAUAGCAAUUUUUGAGCCACUACAACAUAUCUUCAUUGUGCAUGAACUAAAGGGGGACACAUUGAGAAUCAAGAAUCUUUAUUGUCAUUGUGUUUCCCCACAGCGAAAUUACAAUUGGUGACUCCCAGCUAUAUAUAUAAAAAAAUAGAAAAAGGCACACUAUGUACAAAUAAAAAAAAAAAAAAAAAAAAAAAAAUACUUAAAAGAUAUAAAUAUGUAAACAGUCUUACUGCACAUGAGCAGUAGGAUGGGUGAUGAAGUGCAGUCCAGUGCAAGACUCAGUUCUUUAUUCCACAUAGUGUAUCUGUUGUAUGUGUAGGGGGGAAAUGGAUUGGACAGCUCUUGGAUAAAAACAAACAGUAUGGAUACCACAGAAUUAUAAAACUGUUCUAAAAAGCUGUGAUGAAUCUGUUUAUAAUUGUGCAUCUUGUCCAUUGAAUCCUAAAUAUCAUUCCAAGGUAACACUGGUUGUCCAACUCUUUUUUUAAGUCACCAUUUGCUGUUGCUCAUCUGUUAGACAAAAGCACAACCAGUGCAAUGAAACAGUGAAACCUAAUAAAACCUGUUUAGGCUAAUUUUGUUUAAUUUUUCCUGUUUUUCCUCUCAUCUCCGCAGCCCUGCAGUGUCCAGGCAGUACCAGAAGGAGACGCUCUGCUGAACUGUUGAAGCGUAAAGCUCAGCUGGAGAGCCACUACAAGGAGAAGCUGCAGCAUCGCUGCUGUAAAGACGGCCUCAGGGAGAUCCCGAUGCCGUAUUCCUGCACGCGACGUUCCCUCUACAUCACUGAGGGCUGGGAAUGCAUCCGAGCUUUCCGAUACUGCUGCGCCACUUACAGGGACCAGGUGUUUGACACAGAGAUUCCCACCACCCACCAACCACAACUGCAGCUCCCACCACCUCCUCUCAACCCCGGACUGUCGGUCAUACUUCCAGACGAGAGAAAAUAACGGUCUCCCGAUAUAACUCUGGUUGGCGUCUAAGAACGUGGACACCAUCUUACCUGACAGCAUCACAGAGUGGGGAGUUCUGGCAGUCAGUUCAUCACCUCAGACGGGUUCCUGUGUUGCAGAGCCUUACAAUGUCAGAGCGUGGAAAGGUUUCUUUGUGGACCUGAAACUGCCGCAUUCAGUGGCGAGGAACCAACAGGUGGAGAUCAAGGCUGUGGUCCAUAACUACGGCUAUGAUGACCUGCAUGUUGUGACCUAUUACAAUCAGCUGCAUGAGGUGGAAGAGAAAAUGCCCUGCAAGCACGUUGAUCUCAACGUCACUUUUGAAGGAUCCAGCGGUAGAUCAAAUUCUCACACUAUAUCACAUAUUUUACACGGCGUCCUUCAGACGGGGAGAUUCAAGGUAUGCAUGAGCUCACGUGUUACAUAGAAGAUAGAGGGCCACUGUGCAAAUGAGCAUGCAACAGACAUCCCAAAUCUGCCUAAAAUGCUGGUAUUUACAGAGCAGGGCUCUAGGACCCAGAGAUGUCAGGAUGAUGGUUCUUGAUAUCGGUCUACCAACUUGAUUCACCCCAGAAAACUCUGACCUGGAGAUGCUGUCCAAUUCAGUGGAUCGUUACAUCAGUAACUUCCAGAUUGUAGACAACCUGAGUGACAGAGGCUCCCUGAUCAUUCACCUGUUCAAGGUAACAUCACUGUAUUUAUAAUUAUUAUUCUAUAUCAUAUCAUUUUAUGUUAUUCAUAUGCUUUUCUUUUUUUCAAGAAGCAGGUUUCUCAAUGCUCAGUAAAUAAGUCUUUAUGAUCACAGUCAACAAUUUGAGGCAGUUUUAGGCUAUCACACAAAACCAGCUUAUUGGUACCAAAGCCACGGUUCAGAACUCAGACUUGCUAAAUCAGUGUUAGUGUAGUGCAGUGUAGGGCUGCAGCCAGAGUACUGACGAUAGUUAGCAAGAGAGAUCAUAUUUCUCCGAUGCUGGUUUCUCUUCAUUGGCUUCCUGUGAAAUGUAGAAUAGAAUUCAAAAUCCUUCUUCUGACAUAUGAAGCUCUUAACAACCAAUCUCCAUUAUAUCUUAAAGACCUGAUGGUACCAUAUUAUCCUAGAAGAACUCUUCGCUCUCAGACUGCAGGCUUACUUGGAGAAGUGACCUGUAACUUCUCUCUAAAAGUACAAUGUGAGGCAGAGCCUUCAGUUAUCAGCUCCUCUCCUGUGGAACCAGCUCCCAGUUUGGGUUCUGGAGGCGGACACCCUCUCUAAUUUUAAGACCAUGCUUAAAACCUUCCUUUUUGACAAAUCUUAUAGUUAGGACUGACUGGGGGACCCUGAGGGGGUCAGCUGGCAUCUUCCUCUUGGACGUCCCUUAGUUCUGCCCCUAGUUCUGCUGCUAUAGGCCUAGGCAGCUGGAGGACCUCUCUGGAUGCACUGAGCCCUUCUCUAUCUACCAUUAUAUUUAAUAUAUAUAUAUAUAUA